GUAUGGAUAGCUCAGUUGGUAGGACAGCAGACUUUUAAUCUGAGGGUACAAGGUUCAAGUCUUUGUUCAGGCA
rnacentral:tRNA from 1 species